GAAGGGCUCUGGCGCCAGAUGGUUUGAUGGAGCUCGUUGGUGAAACUCCUCUCACACAGCCCUUGUUACGCACCUCUGCAUCGGGGUACAAGCCACCUCCAAAGCUCAGCGGCGACGUUGUGCGUGGCUCCAGGGCUGGAAUGAUUGUCAUAACACCAGCUGGAACUUGCUGAGGCUGAAUGGUGCUCUACACUUGACAAGCAGUUCUGUAUGUACCCAAGAUGUGCUGUUAAGUCCAUCUAGCAGGUCGGCGUACCUCUGUCUACAUCAUUCUAAAAACCAAUCUAAGUCUUCGGUGCACGGAAAGCUGCCUCUGCUGUUCUUUCUAACCCUUUAGAAAACAGAAAGACAACCCGUGAGGAGUUAAUCCUUCAGAAAUCUCUGAAAGACAAGGAGUUCAUCCUAUACCCUACUGAAGCGUUAACCCCAAAUCACUGUGAAGCAACGAGAUGAAGUGAGAGGAGAUGAGCACCGCUGGGUCACGCAGCCGGGGCAGGUUUGAUUACUGUUAGAAGACCAAAAGCCAGAUUCACAGUAAAUUAUUGAACCGGGGCCCUGUGCCUGCUGACUGUCACACCAGCCACAGGAGCAUGGCAUAAAUCUUCAGAUCUCAUGGUUUAUGUGUUGCAGUCACGUAUCUCCCCGGGAGAGCUGUGGAAAGAAACACAAAGGAGAGCAGCAGACUUCAAACUUUGGGUAUGCAGUAGCCUCCUUGGUAAUAUUUUGGCACAGGUACGUUUUGUCGUCUUCUUGCCUUGAGGAUCACCCAGAAGUCACAUUUUAUGUCAGAGCGAGAAGGUUUUUAACAUCUCUCAGCCAAUUGAGCCCCAAAUUACAUGUCCUUACUAACAUACUUUUUCAUUAAAGAAAAGAAGAACAUUUUUUUUUUUCCAAACACACGCUUCCUGAUGUUGCCUAGAGACAAAUUUCUGUUCCUGCUCCUUAACCCUCUGUCAUCUGCUGCAAGGUGCUGAAUUUUGCUGGGCUCAAGUCCUCUCGCUGAGAAAAGCCACUCAGUUUGUAAUCAGGCAUGUUAGCGGCUCGCUUCUCCAUUGUUAUCCACCAGGUUAGUCGCAGAUUUGGUUUGACAAGCCAUAACUAAUUUAUUUGAGCUAAAUUAUAUGAAGGCAGUUAUCAUAUUAACUGUGCUCACAGCUCCACCUCUCAUAUUGCAUUUUUUG